GGACGUGUCACAAAAUCUCCGGACUAUACCGGCGGUUUAGACUGUCUGCGACGCAGGCUACCUAAACCCCGGCUGGAGGAGAGAAAUUUCAGAGUCCCUAACAUUACGUCACGGGCUUGUUAUCGCUGGAAGACUGGAAACUAGUCCGCCAUAUUGUCGAAACACCUUCACGUGGUGAGGGAGCAGAACAUUUAGCAUGGUUCGACCAAAAAAACAGAGCAAGAGGAUGACAGCUCACAAGCGAUACAAAAUACAGCGAAAGGUUAGGGAACAUCUUCGAAAACAAAGGAAGGAGGCCAAACUUAAUGGAAAAUCAAAAA